CGCUCGACGCCUCUAUACGUUUGCAAUUUAGCCGGCGAGCGAUGGACCAGACGCUCCUCCUCCUCCUCCUCGUCGCGGCGGCCGCGUGCGUCGACGUGGCCGCGACCGGCGCCACGUCCUGGCCCGUGGCUCUGGCUGCCUACACCCUCUGGGCUCUCGCCUCCCUCGCGCUGGCCGUCCUCCUCCCGCGCCGCCGCCGCCCCGAGUGAUCCAAGACCGCGCCUCCGGCUGCCGCCGCCCGCGUCCGCGCCCGGCGACCGAUCACCGAAAGCAUGGCGGCAGCCGGCGGUUCGCCGGCAGCCCACGCGUCGACGAGAUUAAUCCAUCCAUGGAAGGCUCGCCGGAGGAUAUCCCACCCCACGAUCCCGCUCCACAGUUUCGCCGUCGGAUCCACUCCGUGUCGCUCUAAAGUAAGGUACGUGUAUGGCAGAAUCGAGUUUGUGGAGGCACAAAUCUAGAUCUAGUUAUCUUCGGAUCUUCCAAGAACAACAAGGGCAGGUCUCGACGAGUCCAGAGCUUCAGGGACCAAAAGGCAGCAAGGCACGGCAAGAUAACUAGUUGCUGACUCCACUGUCCAUCUGCUACUAGUAUAUGUUUGUAUUGGUCUUGGCUACGUACUGAGAACCGUAUAAUUUGUACUGAUACGUAUUGCUGAAGAACAACAGACGGUGAACAUGUAUAGGUCUUUUUUUUGCUAUUAUGCAUUAUUAAUAAAGUUGUGACGAUUGUACCCUUA